CCACGGUUAGGGUUGACGACCUCCACCCCCACAAAACCCUUCCCACCCCAGCAGCGGGUGAUCCGCAAGUAGAUGCCAGCUGGAUGGCUGCACCUCCCCUCCACCUCCCCCCAGCCCCAGCCCUGCUCUAAACCCUUCCAUCGUUCCCCAUCACCAUCCCCACAAAGCUCAGUCUCCCAGCCUCUCUUGGCUCCAGCUACCCUUGUCAUGGGCACACUUGGUGUUUUUUGUUUUUUUUUUGCAUGUGCCAUUCCCCGGAUGGAAUAUCUUUCUCUCUCUAUGCCCACCAACUCCUACACAUCCUUCAAAACCCAAGCACAUUGCUCCUCCUCUAUUCAGACUUCUCCAUCCUCCAGGCAGAGCCCAGGCUCCAGCUUGGAACGCCUCCAGCCUCAGGUCCCUCCCUGAUUCCUUUACAGUCCUGACCUCACCUGGCACCCACCUGCCUGGGAACCCCUCUAGGGCCAAGAGCUGUGGCUCAUAAAGAGAUGGGGUCUCGCCAUAUUGCCCAGGCUGGUCUCAAACUCCUGAGCUCAAGCUGUCCUCCCACCUUGGGCUCCCACAGUGCUGGGAUUCCAGGCGUGAGCCACCGCACCCGGCCCUGGAUUUAACUUAGUAUAUUAAAGGUGGGAGAGCUUUGCCAGGCCCCUCGGGUUGGCAGGGCGCUUCCCAGGGUGGAAGCAGGGUGCCCAGUGCUGGAGGAUGGGCUUGGGAUGGGGCUCAGUCCCCAGGGGGCCAAGCCAGUCCCUAAGACGCUAGGUCGGUCCCACGCCCCGGCUUGCGGCGGUGCAGCUCCUGGAGACGGCAGCAGAGGGCGCCCCAGGCCUGGGUUUGGGCCCCGCCUCUCCCACCAGCCCUAGGGCGGUGGGGGGACAGGGGUCCCCUUGACACCUGGAGAGCUGGGCUAAGAGACCCCCCCUCUAGCGUCAGGGUCUCCCUCCCUGAGGAGAGGGAGGGGCUGGAGGGGCCUCUGAGUGGGUUGGGAAGGAGGGGCAGCUGGGGCAUAGAGCUCAGCCAGGCCCAUGUCCGGAGUUGGGACCUCCUUGCUGGCCACGGGAGGGGGCUUGUUAUCUGGGGCGCAGUGAGCCCUGUUGGGGGGGACAACAGGGACCCCAGAACCCAGUCAAUCGCCCUUCUCUUCUUCCGUUUCCUCCCGGGAUCUGGGCCUGGGGUGGGGUUAGAAGAGAGGAACUUGAAGGCUGCCAGGGGUUGGGGGGUGGGAAUGGAGUCGGGGUUGGAAUGAUGGAGGCUGCUCUGGGAUCUUGGAGGCCUCUGGGAGGGGACGGGGAGAAUGCUGGAAGGAGGGAGAUCCAGACCUGCAGACCCCGAAACUGCACCCCUAGAGUGAGGAGGGAGACCGCCUGUCCUCCAGCCCAGCCACCCAGAGCCGGGUGGGGACCAGGAGGUCCCAGGGACCAGGGAAGGGUCUGUGGGGAAGGAGGGAAGGGGCCUGGGCAAGGAAGGGGCAGAGGCCACAGUGGCGGGGUCCCCAUCACCAGGGCGCUGGGAAGGGGUCUGCAGGGGCGUUCCAGGGGCGUCCCUGGAGCUCUCAACCCCGCGUCUAGGUCCCUGCCCCUGGGUCUCUUCCUCUGGGUUCUGGUUUCCUUGCUCCGGGGACACCCGGGUCUUCCCCAUCCCUGAUCCCUGGGGCCCGUCCAGCGUCCCGGGAUCCCCCUUCCCUGCGUAGUCCCGGCACCCCCAUCCUGACUCCGG
rnacentral:lncRNA from 10 species